GCCAAACCCUUUAGUUUUCGCGUAGCUUCUCUCAUGCGUAUUGAUUUUAUUGGUCUUUUAUUUUCUUUUCUUGCGAUUUGGGGUUUUGUUGUCUAAUCUCUAUCCAUUGUUUUUACAAGUAUCCUCAAAAGUGUAGUUGAUUGACACAACAUCUUUUAUUGGUGUCGCUUCUUUUGCUCCGGGUGGUAUUUGAGAAAUUUAUUAUUGGAUGUUUUUUCUCCAAAUAUUGGUCUUCUUCUUCUUCUCUUUUGAGUUUUCAUCCCUUCUUCUUUUUGUUGUAAUGUUUUGAAUUGACUUGGUUGACUGUAGGCGCCGAAGUGUUCUUUUUGUUGAUGUCGUUUUGGUUUUUUCAAUUGUUUCACUAAUGGUUAGGUUUUCUGUUUGCAGAAUGUUUACACCGGCGAUAGAGGUAAUCAUCUAAUGGAGGUCGCUCAGAUUUUGUUUUUGUUACUUAAAUCAAUACUAAUUCAUGUCUUCUGAUUUGAGGGAGGAAUCGGUUAUAGUAGUAAGGAGAUGUUUGAUGGAGUUGGUGUUCCUUUUUCUUCCUAUUUUCUUUUUCUGAGUUUCACUCCCUAAUUAAUCCCAUUUUUAUCAGUUUGAUUUUAAUUUUGUUUUUUUGAUCGAAAUUUAAUUGUGUUUGAUGAUUAUUUACUUUAGUUUAGAGAAUGCGUUAAUUUUAAUUUAUAGGUUAAACUUCAACCAUCAAGUCAGUGGCUUACAGUUUAAAUACUAAAGUAAACAUUAUUCUCCUUUGCCGAGUAAUGUAGAAUUGAUUUGGGUGAUAAUACAUAAGCGAUGGGAGUCCUAAUGCUUCAAGUUAUUGCCACCCGAACUCCGUAACUUUCUUAAUUUUUCAAGGCCAUAUCAGAACAGAGAUAGUAUAGCUAAACUUUUUAUGAUUUUGGGUGAUAAGUUUGGUUUUGUUGGUCUAUUAAUAUCUAGGAAUUGACUAUCUUUUCUUGCACCUGCCCUCUUUUCCUCUUCUUAUUCUCCUUCUCUCUUCUCAAACCCUAAUCAUCUUCUUUUCAUUACAUGACCAUAUAAUUGACAAAGUCUACUUAUGUUGCAGAGAUUAAUGUUGUUUGUAACCAAUCUUUGUGCAUCAAGUCAAUUUUAUGAAGUACUGUUCUUUUAACUGUUUUAUAGAAUUGAGUUUACAACAAGAUGAAAAUUAUUUCCAUGUUUUAUUUGUCACUCAAUCCGUUAUAUGUCACCAUAAUCUCUACACUUUAUAUUAGGUUGUUCGGUAAUGUCAGUGCAUUGGUUUUUAGGUUCAAAUUUUGUCACGAUCUGGAAUGCAUGAGAAUCCAUUUCAACUUAGCGCUUUGUUAUCACUAUUUGGUUUUGAGGAUGCUGCUAUGACUUAAAAUAAAGCUCUAACGAGUUCUACCAGAAUCUGCAUAAUUAAUUAUGCAUAUUUAGUGACCUUUCAUUAGUCUUUUUCGUAUAAUGAGAUGGGUGACCUGGUACUUGAAAUUGGAGGUUGAAUUGGAGUAGAGAUUGUCAGAUCCAGAAGAAGGUAUUUUGCUCAAAUUACAAGGAAUAUUCCCCAUGCUAUGCAAAGGGUAAUGGCUUAGAAGACGGGGUUGAUGCUAUGUAAAUGAGUAUAUGUCUGUGGCUUCGCAAUGGGAUCAGGAGGCACAAGCGUAUGCGAUGGUGGCUUAUAAUAUUGGGAGUUGGAGGUAUACAUGAGUAUAUGAUUGUGCAGGCUUAACGAAGGUAGUGGGAUUUACAACAGUGUGUGAUGGUGGCUUGGCUACGGCAUGGGAUAUCCAAGAGUGUAUGUGUAUGGUGCUUAACCUGAGUUUGAUCUACAGGAAUAUGAUAGUGGCUACAGUAGCUAAAGUGGGAGUUACAUGAGUAUAUGAAGGUGACUUAGCAAUGGUAGUGGCUUGGCUACAGUAUGGAAGAUAUAAAAGUUAUAUUUCUUGCAUAGUUUUCAUUUCCCCGGAUGGAUGGGCACCUUAAUGUGUUAUCUGCUGCCAUCUGAGACAGUUCAGGUUUGUUGUAUCUGACCAUAAAAAUAUUGUUAGAUUCAUUAUAUUUGUGUAGUUGUAGCUGUCGAACUUCCGGACUUACGGUACUAUACUUGAGUUUCCACUUUCAA